GUGUCAGCCGCCGCGGUAAUACGGAGGGUGCGAGCGUUGUCCGGAAUCACUGGGCGUAAAGGGCGCGUAGGUGGCCGAGCAAGGUCGCGGUGAAAGCCCGGGGCUCAACCCCGGGUCGGCCGUGGCAACUACUGGGCUGGAGCACUGUAGGGGCGGGUGGAAUUCCGGGUGUAGCGGUGGAAUGCGUAGAGAUCCGGAAGAACACCGGUGGCGAAGGCGGCCCGCUGGGCAGUUGCUGACACUGAGGCGCGACAGCGUGGGGAGCAAACAGGAUUAGAAACCCCUGUAGUCC
rnacentral:rRNA from 1 species